rnacentral:rRNA from 1 species
AAUGAACGCUAGCGGGAGGCCUAACACAUGCAAGCCGAGCGGUAGAGUUUCUUCGGAAACUUGAGAGCGGCGCACGGGUGCGUAACACGUGUGCAACCUACCUUUAUCUGGGGGAUAGCCUUUCGAAAGGAAGAUUAAUACCCCAUAAUAUAAUGAUUGGCAUCAAUUAUUAUUGAAAACUCCGGUGGAUAGAGAUGGGCACGCGCAAGAUUAGAUAGUUGGUGAGGUAACGGCUCACCAAGUCAAUGAUCUUUAGGGGUCCUGAGAGGGAGAUCCCCCACACUGGUACUGAGACACGGACCAGACUCCUACGGGAGGCAGCAGUGAGGAAUAGUGGACAAUGGGUGAGAGCCUGAUCCAGCCAUCCCGCGUGAAGGAUGACGGCCCUAUGGAUUGUAAACUUCUUUUGUACAGGGAUAAACCUACCCUCGUGAGGGUAGCUGAAGGUACUGUACGAAUAAGCACCGGCUAACUCCGUG